rnacentral:lncRNA from 1 species
UGAGGCCAGGUCAGCCAGGAGCAUUAACAGAUCCUUGCAGAGAGAACAAAUUAAGUGACAGUAGUUGUAGAUUGCCUAUAACAGGGCCAGCAGCACCCAGUCAGCCACAAGAUACUACUCUAGGACCAGCAUGAGCCAGGGAACCUCUUCCCUACACACCUGGAUGCCUCCAGAGAAAACAAGCCACGGGAGAAGGCCAUCCAAGAAACCAAGAAAUUCCUGCCUAUAGAAGGGUUCUGCUGUUAUGUCCAGCUGUCAUUGAAGAGCAUUGCUAGGUGGCAUCCCAAGGUUAAAAGCAGCUGUAGCAAAAUGAAAACAUGGCAUUCUGCUACUAUCCAAUAUCAAAUUAUAUAUAAUUUCCCAGAAGCAUAAAACCUAAAGGAAUUCUGAGCCACAAAUAUUGAUUUCUUUUUAUUUGCUAAAAAAAAAGUCAAGUUUAAUAAGAUAAAAAAGUUCACAAAUGUCUUUCUUUGUAUCUUUUCUGUUUUUAAUAAUGUAAGAAAUUAAAGAUUUUGUUAAGUGUAAAGACAGUCAACAAUCCUUGAGACACAAAUUAUUUUCUCUCUUAAGAUUUUAUUAAUUUAUUUGUGAGAGAGCGAGAGAAAGAGAGAGAGAGCACACAAGCAGGGAAGCAGAGGGCUGAGGGAGAAGCAGGCUCCCUACUGAGCAAGGAGACCGAGCAGGACUCAAUCCCAGGACUCUGGAAUCAGGAACUGAGUUGAAGGCAUACGCUUAACUAAUUGAGCCACUCAGGUGUCCCAGACACAAACUAUUUUCUAAACAAUCCAUCUUGGAAAACAUGUUGCC